rnacentral:rRNA from 1 species
AGUGAACGCUGGCGGUAGGCCUAACACAUGCAAGUCGAACGGCAGCACAGAGGAGCUUGCUCCUUGGGUGGCGAGUGGCGGACGGGUGAGGAAUACAUCGGAAUCUACUCUGUCGUGGGGGAUAACGUAGGGAAACUUACGCUAAUACCGCAUACGACCUACGGGUGAAAGCAGGGGAUCUUCGGACCUUGCGCGAUUGAAUGAGCCGAUGUCGGAUUAGCUAGUUGGCGGGGUAAAGGCCCACCAAGGCGACGAUCCGUAGCUGGUCUGAGGGGAUGACCAGCCACACUGGAACUGAGACACGGUCCAGACUCCUAAGGGAGGCAGCAGUGGGGAAUAGUGGACAAUGGGCGCAAGCCUGAUCCGGCCAUACCGCGUGGGUGAAGAAGGCCUUCGGGUUGUAAAGCCCUUUUGUUGGGAAAGAAAUCCAUCUGGUUAAUACCCGGGUGGGAUGACGGUACCCAAAGAAUAAGCACCGGCUAACUUCGUGCCAGCCGCCGCCGUAA